GACGAACCGUGCGACCGUUAUUCGGAAUCACUGGGCUUAAAGGGCGCGUAGGCGGGCUCGCAGGUCAGGGGUGAAAGCCCACGGCUCAACCGUGGAAGUGCCUUUGGUACCGUGAGUCUCGAGGGAGGUAGGGGCGUGCGGAACUUCCGGUGGAGCGGUGAAAUGCGUAGAUAUCGGAAGGAACAUCGGUGGCGAAAGCUGCGCGCUGGACCUCUUCUGACGCUGAGGCGCUAAAGCCAGGGGAGCAAACGGG
rnacentral:rRNA from 1 species